rnacentral:rRNA from 1 species
CGGGGUGCAGCAGGCGCGAAAACUCUACAAUGCAGGCAACUGCGAUAGGGGAACAUCGAGUGAUCCUCAUAUUGGGGGUCUGUCCACUCGCCUAAAAAGCGGGUGUUAGCAAGGGCCGGGCAAGACCGGUGCCAGCCGCCGCGGUAAUACCGGCGGCUCGAGUGGUGGCCGAUAUUAUUGAGUCUAAAGGGUCCGUAGCCGGCUUUGCAAGUCUCUCGGGAAAUCCAGCGGCUUAACCGUUGGUCGUCCGGGGGGUACUACAUUGCUUGGGACUGGGAGAGGUAGGAGGUACUCAGGGGGUAGGAGUGAAAUCCUGUAAUCCUUUGGGGACCACCGGUGGCGAAGGCGUCCUACCAGAACAGGUCCGACGGUGAGGGACGAAAGCUAGGGGCACGAACCGGAUUAGAUACCCGGGUAGUCCUAGCCGUAAACGAUGCUCGCUAGGUGUCACAACAGUCGUGAACUGUUGUGGUGCCGUAGGGAAGCCGUGAAGCGAGCCACUUGGGAAGUACGACCGCAAGGUUGAAACUUAAAGGAAUUGGCGGGGGAGCAC